rnacentral:lncRNA from 1 species
AAAAACAUACAUCUCAGAGAUGCUUUUGCUACUUAGUUUUAUUUCUUUUUAAGUUAUGAAUUGGUUGUAUAUUUAGAAUCUUUAGAAGUUAAACGAUUAUAUAUCAGUGGAUUGUUGUAUAUGUAUGGAUUGUUGUAUAUAAGGCUUGUUGAAUGCAAUGUGUGAAAAAGGGCUUCAAAUUAUACAGUUUUAGGUGUACUGCUUCAAUAUACAAGUUGUCUAAAAUAAAUAAAAAA